rnacentral:rRNA from 1 species
UGAGUAACGCGUAUCCAACCUUCCCUAUAGUAGAGGAUAGCCCGGCGAAAGUCGGAUUAAUACUCUAUGUUUUCCGAUGCAGACAUCUAAGUUGGAACAAAGGUUCACCGCUAUAGGAUGGGGAUGCGUCUGAUUAGAUAGUAGGCGGGGUAACGGCCCACCUAGUCGACGAUCAGUAGGGGUUCUGAGAGGAAGGUCCCCCACAUUGGAACUGAGACACGGUCCAAACUCCUACGGGGAGGCAGCAGUGAGGAAUAUUGGUCAAUGGGCGAGAGCCUGAACCAGCCAAGGUUAAGCGUGCAGGAUGACCGGCCCUUAGUGGGUUAGUAAACUGUCUUUUAGUCGGGGGAAUAAAGUGAGGGACGUGUCCUUUUUGUAGGUACCCGAUGAAUAAGGACCGGCUAAUUCCGUGCCAGCCGCAGC